rnacentral:lncRNA from 1 species
CGGCGGCGGCAAAGCAUCGCACCUGAAGACGUUCCAGAUCUACCGAUGGAACCCCGACAACCCCAGCAAGCCCGAGCUCCAAGACUACCAGAUCGAUCUCAAGGACUGCGGCCCGAUGGUCCUCGACGCCCUAAUCAAGAUCAAGAACGAGACGGCUCCCUCCCUCACGUUCCGCCGCUCGUGCCGAGAAGGGAUCUGCGGCUCGUGCGCGAUGAACAUCGACGGGUGCAACGGCCUCGCGUGCCUGACGAAGAUCGAGGAGGGGGCGAAGGAGACGACGACGAUCACUCCCUUGCCGCAUAUGUUUGUGAUAAAGGAUCUGGUGGUGGACAUGACGAAUUUUUAUAAUCAGUAUAAGAGUAUCGAGCCGUGGCUGAAGAGGAAGAGUCCGGCGUCGGAUGAGCAUGGGAAGGAGAUUCUGCAGAGUAAGAAGGAUAGGGCGAAGCUUGAUGGGAUGUAUGAGUGUAUUUUGUGUGCUUGUUGUAGCACGUCGUGUCCUAGUUAUUGGUGGAACCCUGAGUCUUAUCUUGGCCCUGCUGCUUUGCUGCAUGCUAACAGGUAAUGAUUAGAGAUUGGUAGUGUUGAUGGCUUGUGAAUAAUGGAUAUAGAAAUGAAUUGCGAAUGAUAGGACUUAGGACCUGCUUUGAGAAUUUGAAUGGAUGGUUGGGAAGAUUCGUGUAUACAUAACUUGUUGUUAGCUGCAUUGAUUCGACUUGUAUCUAAUUGUAGGAACCGCAUGUUCAAUGUUUUGGUUUAGGAAGUUGGUUUUGAUUGAGUUAGUAGAUAAAGUUUUGAUCUUUCGAUGUGUUUGUAACACUAUUCAAGUUGAAUUUUUAGGGGAAUAGGUUGCAUGUUGUAGGAAUAGGAACCUGUUUUUUAGAAUGUGCAUGGAGGGUUGGGAAGAUUCGUGUAUAUAUAUCUUGUUGUUAGCUGCAUUGAUUCGACUUGUAUCUAAUUGUAGAAACAGUAUGUUCAAUGUUUUGGUUUGGGAAGUUGUUUUUUUUAUCGAGUCAGUAGAUAAAGUUUUGAUUUUUCGAUGUGUUUGUAACACUAUUCAAGUUUCUUUUUUAUGGGAAUAGGUUGCAUGUUGUAGGAAUAGGAACCUGUUUUUUAGAAUGUGCAUGGAGGGUUGGGAAGAUUCGUGUAUAUAUAUCUUGUUGUUAGCUGCAUUGAUUCGACUUGUAUCUAAUUGUAGAAACAGUAUGUUCAAUGUUUUGGUUUGGGAAGUUGUUUUUUUUAUCGAGUCAGUAGAUAAAGUUUUGAUUUUUCGAUGUGUUUGUAACACUAUUCAAGUUUCUUUUUUAUGGGAAUAGGUUGCAUGUUGUAGGAAUAGGAACCUGUUUUUUAGAAUGUGCAUGGAGGGUUGGGAAGAUUCGUGUAUAUAUAUCUUGUUGUUAGCUGCAUUGAUUCGACUUGUAUCUAAUUGUAGAAACAGUAUGUUCAAUGUUUUGGUUUGGGAAGUUGUUUUUUUUAUCGAGUCAGUAGAUAAAGUUUUGAUUUUUCGAUGUGUUUGUAACACUAUUCAAGUUUCUUUUUUAUGGGAAUAGGUUGCAUGUUGUAGGAAUAGGAACCUGUUUUUUAGAAUGUGCAUGGAGGGUUGGGAAGAUUCGUGUAUAUAUAUCUUGUUGUUAGCUGCAUUGAUUCGACUUGUAUCUAAUUGUAGAAACAGUAUGUUCAAUGUUUUGGUUUGGGAAGUUGUUUUUUUUAUCGAGUCAGUAGAUAAAGUUUUGAUUUUUCGAUGUGUUUGUAACACUAUUCAAGUUUCUUUUUUAUGGGAAUAGGUUGCAUGUUGUAGGAAUAGGAACCUGUUUUUUAGAAUGUGCAUGGAGGGUUGGGAAGAUUCGUGUAUAUAUAUCUUGUUGUUAGCUGCAUUGAUUCGACUUGUAUCUAAUUGUAGAAACAGUAUGUUCAAUGUUUUGGUUUGGGAAGUUGUUUUUUUUAUCGAGUCAGUGAUCGGUGUACAGCCCGCCUGGUGCAUGAAUGUCUCUAGCCCGCUCAGAAAUGCGUUCGUCACCCUCCCGUCGGAAUCUUUGUGCAAAUACAUCCAACUCCGUAACUCGUAAAUACUACCGCCACCGGCCAUUUUUUUCUUAGAUUUUUUUUUGAAAUUUUUUUUUCUGAUUUUUUUUUUCCGUUUGUGUGUUGUGAGGAAGAGAGUUGUGGGAAAUGACAUAUAUAUAGAGAAAUUUUCGAGUUGGGUAGUUGAAAUAUAACAACGAUUUUACAAGGAAUAUUUUACAUGGAUUUUACAUGGUUUUAACAUAAUAUUUACAAUGACUUUACGACGAAAUUAGGUAAGUUAAAGCACAUUGAAUACACGUUUUCACCUAAAUAUAACGGUAACAUGUUUCGUUGUAAUGUCGAUGUAAUGAUUACGACGUAUUUCUCAUUCCACGUACAUUCGUCGUAAACUUAUAUGUAUUUUACGACGAACACUGUUCGUCGUAAAUUUACAUGGCGUUUACGACAAAAGUUGGAUUCCUCGUAACUGCGUUGUAAACACCAUGUAAAUUUACGAUAAAAUAUUUUCGUCGUAAAUCUUCGUUGUUAUGGGCACGUUUUCUUGUAGUGAAUGGAUUAUACGAACAUUCCACACAAUAAAGGAAUGUACCAAAUCCCUUUUUUAUUAUUUGAGGAGCAUUGAUAAAAAAUAACAUUGGCUUCAUGUGUUUAUUACAUGUGUGUCAUUUCCUAGGUGUCAUCACCACAUGAACUCUCACCUCAUUUUUUUAAAAGCCCUUUCUCAACUAGAAUAAUUACAAACAAAUGCCACUGGUCAUUACAUUAUACUAUAAGAUUUUCGGUCAACAUUACACUCGGAUUUUUUUAAAAAAACAGGGAUUUAACUAAGUCAACAUAUUAUUACCAUUCAAAGAGAGACUUUAUUGUUUGUUCGAAAACUUGGAAGUGGUUCAUUUAAAUAAGACAAUAAAAUAUACGUGUCUUUUAAGUCAUUUACGCUUGAGUAAAUAAUUGAUUCUUUAAACUUCGUACAACUAAGUUCUUUACGGUUUGAAUUGGUUAUUUUAGCUUGAUAUGCCGAUUUGUAAUAAAAUAUCAUAACAUGUAUUACUGUUCAUAUCUAAUCUUGCAAUAAGUAAACCAUGUUUAUCAUAAUGUUUUGAAAAACUAAUAUAAGCUUCAAAUCGUUUUAUGAUCUUUUAGAUUCAAGUCAUCGAAAAUUCCUUUUUUUUUAUUCCCAAAACUUAAUGCUUCAAAUUUAAAAGGAAACACAAUUGAAUUAAUCACGGGAUCGAAUAUAUUAUAGAAAAGAAAAAUGAGAAUGUUAACGUAUUCAAGGAAACAAAAUUCGAAGAAUUGAAAUACUUACCUUAAUCGAUCGGAGAAUAUUUGUGAAAUAAAGUUUGCGUGACCAGAACUUGUAUAGUAUCACAUGGUUUGAUCCCUUUUUUUUUUACAGUAACGUCGUCGUUAAGUGUGUCGCUUAUGGUGCACUUGCUCAUGUUUUCAAUGAUUUAUGGAAUUCUAUAGAUGCAGACAUAGUAUUAUGUGUUUUACAGUGUUGGCAAAUUAAUUGGGUUCGCUCCGUGAAAAUGGCCUCCGGUUUAAUCGGAAGAUUCGUUAGAACCAAUCCGUCGCGAUUAACCACCGCGGCGAGGCUAAUCCCGUCGCGAUGCACAGCUUCCUCAACGGAUAACGGCGGCGGCGGCGGCGGCAAAGCAUCGAACCUGAAGACGUUCCAGAUCUACCGAUGGAACCCCGACAACCCCAGCAAGCCCGAGCUCCAAGACUACCAGAUCGACCUCAAGGACUGUGGCCCGAUGGUCCUCGACGCCCUAAUCAAGAUCAAGAACGAGAUGGAUCCCUCCCUCACCUUCCGCCGCUCGUGCCGAGAAGGGAUCUGCGGC